UUGUUUGUUAAUGUAUGCCUGUAUCACUAGCAACUUCCCUUUUAGAAUGCUUUUGCUCCAUUCCAUAGAUUUUGGAUUAUUGUAUUUU